GUGGCUGCUGCUCUCCGUUUAUCCCACCACUGCCACCAUUAUUGCUACUGUUCAGCAGGUGCUGCUGGUGGUGAUGGUGAUAGUCUGGUGGGGGCGGUGGGGCUGCUG
ensembl:miRNA